rnacentral:misc_RNA from 1 species
GAUGAAGAACGUAGCGAAAUGCGAUAACUAAUGUGAAUUGCAGAAUUCAGUGAAUCAUCGAGUCUUUGAACGCACAUUGCGCCCCCUGGUAUUCCGGGGGGCAUGCCUGUCCGAGCGUCAUUGCUGCCCUCAAGCACGGCUUGUGUGUUGGGCUCCGUCCCCCCGGGGACGGGCCCGAAAGGCAGCGGCGGCACCGAGUCCGGUCCUCGAGCGUAUGGGGCUUUGUCACCCGCUCUGUAGGCCCGGCCGGCGCCAGCCGACAACCCAUCAUCCUUUUCAGGUUGACCUCGGAUCAGGUUGGGAUACCCGCUGAACUUAAGCAUAUCAAUAAGCGGAGGA